AUCAGGUCAAAUUGUAAGUCGCUUUGGAUAAAAGCGUCAGCUAAAUGACAUGUG
rfam:Gasterosteus aculeatus cont1.014870, whole genome shotgun sequence.